rnacentral:rRNA from 1 species
CACGUAGGGGACGAGCGUUGUUCGGAAUCACUGGGCUUAAAGGGCGCGUAGGCGGCCGGGUUGGUCGUGGGUGAAAUCCCCCAGCUUAACUGGGGAACUGCCUACGAUACUGCCUGGCUCGAGGGAGGAAGGGGCGGUCGGAACUGUCGGUGGAGCGGUGAAAUGCGUUGAUAUCGACAGGAACGCCGGUGGCGAAAGCGGACCGCUGGCCCUCUUCUGACGCUGAGGCGCGAAAGCCAGGGGAGCGAACGGG